GUGUGUGUGUGUGUGUGUGUGUGUGCGUGCGACUAUGUGGUAUGGAUGGACAUUUGACCUGACGCUGUACCUGGGCUACAGGGACAUUUCGACUUUUUGCUGUGUAUUCAUGUGUCCCCCUAAAACAUGAAUUGUAAAUGCAUUUUUAAGUGUCUAAAUAAUAAUUUUUUCUACUUCUUAUGAGGUCAUUAUUUAUCUUUUGACCUGUAUUUGCUUAAACUGUAGUGUAAAUUCAUUUAUUAAACUAUAAUUAAAAGAUUUUCUGAUUUUCUUAAAAGUCCACCUAUACCACUCACCUGAUUUUUGUGUAUUCCAGUUUAUUGCACAGCGACGUUUCGAGUUAGAGUGGAUGUGUGUAAGUACUACAAUUUAAUACACAUUUUCAAUACACAGGGCCAGAAGUCAUUGUGAUUGGUAGGCUAUAUAUAUAGGCGGUACCUACCGGAAACGAUUUCGCGCGCGUGCCCUUUAACAAGUACAUGUCGACGGCAAUACGAAGACUGAUUAAAAGCACAAAGGCAAUCAAAACGUACAGGAGAACAUGCGAAGGAGACGCAUUCCUCCACGGGAGGAUGCAGUCUGUCAUGUUUCUGCUGGAAGGGACAAACUGGGACUUGAUAUCCACUACAUAAAUGCCUUCAAAGGUCGGGGCAUUUUCACGACUGUUCCAUUCCAAAAAGGAGACUUCCUUUUGGAAUACAGAGGUAAACUCAU